GGAUGGAUCAUUAACGUUCUUUAAACAAAAAAAAGGAAAAGGAAGAGGAAGAUCGGAGCUCGUAACUGUCUGUAUUUGCGGAUUAGUGGUUUCCCUGCGAAUACGGAGCAAGAACAGAUAUUGACCAGCCAGGACGCCUUGGUAAUGACACGCAAGCUGACUUGGGGAGGUAGAAGCACUACUCGGGGUGGAAACACCAUCCCGUCGGGGCUGUUUGCGGCGUCAUUAUCCCCUCCCUUACUGUCCACCCUUGUGGUUUAUAGGACAUUAUUGUAUGAUGUGUGUUGUUGUGGCGGUGCCUCAUGGCGUCAACGCAGACACACAUUGUUCAGUAGCCCCAUUAUACAAAACACUUGUCUCCAUUUAAAGACUAAAGUAACCUUGUGAAUCGAAUCACGCAGGCGUAUCUAGUAUAUGUUUGUUUGUUUAUUUUGAAUUACCAAGUAAAACAAUCAUUAAUAUCUAUACAACUGCUAGCAACGGAUCACUCGGCUCUCGCGUCGAUGAAGAACGUAGCGAAGUGCGAAAAUUAAUGCGACCCGCAACACGUGAGUCAUCGAGUUUUUGAACGCAUAUUGCACCCAGCCGUUAAAGUGCUGGGUCUGCCUGUCUGAGUAUUAUUAAUACCCAACUCAUAACCUCAUGGUUGUGUGGGUUGGUGCUCGUCGGCAUAGUCUCUCUCGGGAGGCGAUGUCGGUGGAUUUGGAUGUCUGGUCGGCUUGCAAUAACAGCGGAUCAGUCAUUUGAAAUGCAUUGGUAAUAGUUAUCGACUGUUAAUGAUUGCCAACUGCUUCAAGCAUUGUUAAUCAUCUUUCAUUAGAUGUUCCUUGCUUACAAGCGGACGGAUCCAACAAUCAUUAGCCGGAUGAUCGCCACGCUCUAGUGGCAGUCGUCUGUCUAUCCAGAAGUUGUUAAUGCCACUUGCACAGCUGUGUGUAUCUCCCGUCAAACGGAGAGGCACGGCCGUACACUCAUGUAUCUACUUAAUCUCAGAUCAGGCAGGAUGACCCGCUGAACUUAAGCAUAUUAGUAAGCGGAGGAAAAGAAACUAACCAGGAUUCCCUCAGUAACGGCGAGCGAAGCGGGAAUAGCCCAAUCUGAAAAGCUGGUCUGCCCCGGAGCAGGUCCCGCAUUGUAGGUUGAUGAGGCGUUUCCUAGUGCUAGACCUUUCAAUUAAAGUUCCUUGGAACAGGACAUCAGAGAGGGUGAUAAUCCCGUGAUUAAUUGAACGACAUACCAGUCUAGUACGCCUAUGGAGCGUCUUCUUAGAGUCGGGAUGUUUGGGAUUGCAUUCCAAAGUGGGUGGUAAACUCCAUCUAAGGCUAAAUACUGGCGAGAGACCGAUAGCGAACAAGUACCGUGAGGGAAAGUUGAAAAGCACUCUGGAGAGAGAGUCAAACAGUACGUGAAAUUGCUAGCAGGGAAACGUUGGAUACCAGUACACGGCAAUCAAUGCCAAUGAUCAGUCAAUGUCCGUGUCAGUUGCAGUGUGGUGGUCACACCUUUGGAGAUUGUCCCAGGGCAACUCACGCGCUUCAAAUGAUACGGGUGUUGGUGCACUCGUUGGCAGCCGGGUCAACAUCAGUUAAUGACGUCCGACAAGUCUUUAGACAAGGUAGCAUUGACGGGUUCGCUCGUCGAUGAACUUAUAGGUCUGAUGUACGAGGAUGUCGGUUGACUGAGGACAGUCGACUCGUGCGUUUCGGCGCAGGGCGUACAGGCGGGGUCAAGGUUGCCCGUGGCGUUAAUCAGCAUGCUGAUUGACGUUCAUUUUACCGUACUUGUGCGGUAGUGGCGAUCGUCCCGUCGGUGCAAGCCACUAGCGAGUCUAUGACGGUUGACGAAAUGGUACUCAACGACCCGUCUUGAAACACGGACCAAGGAGUCUAACAUGUCUGCGAGUGUUUGGGUGGUAAACCCUUACGCGGAAUGAAAGUAACGAGGCAAGUCUCGCGCUUGUCCACUGGUAGGAAUCGAAGCGCCACGGCGCGACGAGGCACUACCGACCGACCUGGUGCCCUCUGUGGUGUUAGGUUUGAGUUGGAGCAGUCCUGUUAGGACCCGAAAGAUGGUGAACUAUGCCUGAGCAGGAUGAAGUCAGAGGAAACUCUGAUGGAGGUCCGUAGCGGUUCUGACGUGCAAAUCGAUCGUCGGACUUGGGUAUAGGGGCGAAAGACUAAUCGAACCAUCUAGUAGCUGGUUCCUGC
rnacentral:misc_RNA from 1 species